UCUGAUAGAGGCGCGGAAUGCAUGAUUACCCGUCAGCAAAAAGGCUAACGCUGAACGGUCAAAGGGUCUUCCGCCGAAAUGCGGUGUAUCUGCCUUAGGUCACCGUGUUGGGCUGUUUAUGAAAUACGUAACAGACUGUCACUAUUAAGUGGAGCGCUAUCUU
rnacentral:ncRNA from 1 species